rnacentral:rRNA from 1 species
CAGCAGCCGCGGUAAUACGUAGGGUGCGAGCGUUGUCCGGAUUUAUUGGGCGUAAAGGGCUCGUAGGUGGUUGAUCGCGUCGGAAGUGUAAUCUUGGGGCUUAACCCUGAGCGUGCUUUCGAUACGGAUUGACUUGAGGAAGGUAGGGGAGAAUGGAAUUCCUGGUGGAGCGGUGGAAUGCGCAGAUAUCAGGAGGAACACCAGUGGCGAAGGCGGUUCUCUGGGCCUUUCCUGACGCUGAGGAGCGAAAGCGUGGGGAGCGAACAGGCUUAGAUACCCUGGUAGUCCACGCUGUAAACGGUGGGUACUAGGUGUGGGGUCCAUUCCACGGGUUCCGUGCUCGUAGCUAACGCUUUAAGUACCCCGCCUGGGGAGUACGGCCGCAAGGCUAAAACUCAAAUAAAUUGACGG